GUUGUGGUUUCGGUGUUCCUAACGACGAUUAUCUUCUGGUAGCGCAACAGGUUAAUAACUCUGAAAAAUCAAAACCGAAGACAACACUCAGAAAUGUUGACAUGAAUAUGGCUGCCAAGAGUGUACAACCCUCUGCAUUGCAUAUUGUUAAUCAUUCUGUAUAGAGCAGCAGCUAAUCAUGCGGCUAAGGAAAAGUAGAAGAUGAUGAUUCAUGAGUUGCGAUACCAGGAGGAUUUGAAGAAAGAACUUCAAGGUGCCACAUAUACUUCGUGUUACAAGUACCAUCCAGAUAUGAACAAAUGCCCUGGAGCAGAAGAGAAGUUCAAGGAGAUUGGUGCUGCAUACGAGGUAAUUCUUCUAGCACUACAUUUAUAUAUUCUCUAUUGUCAACUAUCUAUGAAGUUCGAAUAUUUUCUCUCUUUGUUCACUUGGUAACAAAGUAUGCAAAUAGGUUCUAUCAGAUGAUGAGAAAAGAUCUUUAUAUGAUCGCUUUGGUGAGUCAGGUCUAGAAGCAGAAAAUGGUGGACCCGCCAGUGCCUCAGUCAGGGAAUGAAAUCUGUUCCUGUCUUUUCAUUUCCACCAAAGUACUUUAAUACUCAUGCGCUGAGGAUAUGUGCUGUCAAACUUUGGUGCUAUAGAUUAGUGUUCCGCAAAACGGUCUACAUGAUGAGAUGAGCAAAGCUAUAGUGGUGCUUGAUGGGGUGAGCUAAAAUUUAAGGGAAAAUAAAUCUUUUGGUUAAGACUUUGUUAAAACAAUUAAAAUUAUGCUCCUUUUGUCAGGUCAAAAUUCUGUUUAACUCUUUGAAGAAAAUAACACCUUAUGUAUUGUUUGAUUUAGAUUGCAAGUUUCGUGUAGGAAUACUCAAUAGUUCAUCUUGCACUUGCUUGUGCAAGUAGUAGGAUAUUGGUAUUGCAUUUACUUGGAGUGAAUGAAAUUCAUUUGUUGUGUAAGUCAUUAGUUAGUUAUCUAAUGUACAAGACAAUUUAUAAUU